rnacentral:lncRNA from 1 species
GAAGAGGACACAGGCACGAGAUCUGGGUUCCAUUUUGUGUGUGGUGUAGGGCCGAAGCCAAGGGAAGCAUUGACAGGCGAAGACACGUAGUUUGGCAAGGUUGGGGCGCUUAUGGAAGAGAGACUCAAAGGAGGAGAACAUCGAAAGAUUUGUCUUGGGAAGACGAUUAAUGAGAUAGACCGCUAUAGCAAAGGCAUAAGGCUAGUAAAUGAGAGGUACAGAGGCAUGAUGAAGGAGAGUGAGACCAGUAUUGACAAUAUGACGGUGACGUUGUUCAACAUAGCCAUUGUGCUGAGGUGUAUGAGGAGGUGAAGUGAGAUGUGAGAUGCCAUUGGAGGCAAGAAAAGAGCGUAAAGCUAGGAAUUCACCCCAGGCAUAAGGCCAAUAAUUGAGAGGUACAGAGGCAUGAUGAAGGAGAGUGAGACCAGUAUC